rfam:Myotis davidii contig218938, whole genome shotgun sequence.
GGCAGUUCUCGGGUGAUGUACCCUGAAAUCAGGCUCCUUCCUUUCUGGUUCUGGGUGCAUCACCCAAGAACCACA